rnacentral:rRNA from 1 species
AGCGUACACGGUGGAUGCCCUGGCAGUCAGAGGCGAUGAAGGACGUGCUAAUCUGCGAAAAGCGUCGGUAAGGUGAUAUGAACCGUUAUAGCCGGCGAUGUCCGAAUGGGGAAACCCAGUGCAAUUCGUUGCACUAUCGUUAACUGAAUACAUAGGUUAACGAGGCGAACCGGGGGAACUGAAACAUCUAAGUACCCCGAGGAAAAGAAAUCAACCGAGAUUCCCCCAGUAGCGGCGAGCGAACGGGGAGCAGCCCAGAGUCUGAAUCAGCUUGUGUGUUAGUGGAACGGUCUGGAAAGUCCGACGGUACAGGGUGAUAGUCCCGUACACCAAAAUGCACAGGUUGUGAACUCGAAGAGUAGGGCGGGACACGUGGUAUCCUGUCUGAAUAUGGGGGGACCAUCCUCCAAGGCUAAAUACUCCUGACUGACCGAUAGUGAACCAGUACCGUGAGGGAAAGGCGAAAAGAACCCCGGCGAGGGGAGUGAAAAAGAACCUGAAACCGUGUACGUACAAGCAGUGGGAGCACCUUCGGGUGUGACUGCGUACCUUUUGUAUAAUGGGUCAGCGACUUAUAUUCUGUAGCAAGGUUAACCGUAUAGGGGAGCCGCAGGGAAACCGAGUCUUAACUGGGCGUUAAGUUGCAGGGUAUAGACCCGAAACCCGGUGAUCUAGCCAUGGGCAGGUUGAAGGUUGGGUAACACUAACUGGAGGACCGAACCGACUAAUGUUGAAAAAUUAGCGGAUGACUUGUGGCUGGGGGUGAAAGGCCAAUCAAACCGGGAGAUAGCUGGUUCUCCCCGAAAGCUAUUUAGGUAGCGCCUCGUGAAUUCAUCUUCGGGGGUAGAGCACUGUUUCGGCUAGGGGGUCAUCCCGACUUACCAACCCGAUGCAAACUACGAAUACCGAAGAAUGUUAUCACGGGAGACACACGGCGGGUGCUAACGUCCGUCGUGAAGAGGGAAACAACCCAGACCGCCAGCUAAGGUCCCAAAGUCAUGGUUAAGUGGGAAACGAUGUGGGAAGGCACAGACAGCCAGGAUGUUGGCUUAGAAGCAGCCAUCAUUUAAAGAAAGCGUAAUAGCUCACUGGUCGAGUCGGCCUGCGCGGAAGAUGUAACGGGGCUAAACCAUGCACCGAAGCUGCGGCAGCGACACUAUGUGUUGUUGGGUAGGGGAGCGUUCUGUAAGCCUGCGAAGGUGUGCUGUGAGGCAUGCUGGAGGUAUCAGAAGUGCGAAUGCUGACAUAAGUAACGAUAAAGCGGGUGAAAAGCCCGCUCGCCGGAAGACCAAGGGUUCCUGUCCAACGUUAAUCGGGGCAGGGUGAGUCGACCCCUAAGGCGAGGCCGAAAGGCGUAGUCGAUGGGAAACAGGUUAAUAUUCCUGUACUUGGUGUUACUGCGAAGGGGGGACGGAGAAGGCUAUGUUAGCCGGGCGACGGUUGUCCCGGUUUAAGCAUGUAGGCUGGUUGUCCAGGCAAAUCCGGAUAAUCAAGGCUGAGGUGUGAUGACGAGGCACUACGGUGCUGAAGUAACAAAUGCCCUGCUUCCAGGAAAAGCCUCUAAGCAUCAGGUAACAUUAAAUCGUACCCCAAACCGACACAGGUGGUCAGGUAGAGAAUACCAAGGCGCUUGAGAGAACUCGGGUGAAGGAACUAGGCAAAAUGGUGCCGUAACUUCGGGAGAAGGCACGCUGGUGUGUAGGUGAAGUCCCUGCGGAUGGAGCUGAGACCAGUCGAAGAUACCAGCUGGCUGCAACUGUUUAUUAAAAACACAGCACUGUGCAAACACGAAAGUGGACGUAUACGGUGUGACGCCUGCCCGGUGCCGGAAGGUUAAUUGAUGGGGUUAUCCGUAAGGAGAAGCUCUUGAUCGAAGCCCCGGUAAACGGCGGCCGUAACUAUAACGGUCCUAAGGUAGCGAAAUUCCUUGUCGGGUAAGUUCCGACCUGCACGAAUGGCGUAAUGAUGGCCAGGCUGUCUCCACCCGAGACUCAGUGAAAUUGAACUCGCUGUGAAGAUGCAGUGUACCCGCGGCAAGACGGAAAGACCCCGUGAACCUUUACUAUAGCUUGACACUGAACAUUGAGCCUUGAUGUGUAGGAUAGGUGGGAGGCUUUGAAGCGUGGACGCCAGUCUGCGUGGAGCCAACCUUGAAAUACCACCCUUUAAUGUUUGAUGUUCUAACGUUGGCCCCUUACCGGGGUUGCGGACAGUGUCUGGUGGGUAGUUUGACUGGGGCGGUCUCCUCCCAAAGCGUAACGGAGGAGCACGAAGGUUAGCUAAUCCUGGUCGGACAUCAGGAGGUUAGUGCAAUGGCAUAAGCUAGCUUGACUGCGAGCGUGACGGCGCGAGCAGGUGCGAAAGCAGGUCAUAGUGAUCCGGUGGUUCUGAAUGGAAGGGCCAUCGCUCAACGGAUAAAAGGUAUCCGGGGAUAACAGGCUGAUACCGCCCAAGAGUUCAUAUCGACGGCGGUGUUUGGCACCUCGAUGUCGGCUCAUCACAUCCUGGGGCUGAAGUAGGUCCCAAGGGUAUGGCUGUUCGCCAUUUAAAGUGGUACGCGAGCUGGGUUUAGAACGUCGUGAGACAGUUUCGGUCCCUAUCUGCCGUGGGCGCUGGAGAAUUGAGGGGGGCUGCUCCUAGUACGAGAGGACCGGAGUGGACGCAUCACUGGGUGUUCGGGUUGUCAUGCCCAAUGGCACUGCCCGGUAGCUAAAUGCGGAAGAGAUAAGUGCUGAAAGCAUCUAAGCACGAAACUUGCCCCGAGAUGAGUUCU